UUGGAUGAGAUGCUCUUUGGAGGUCCCUUCCAAUUCCUGACAUUCUGUGAUUCUGUGCAAACUUGGUUCACAGUAGUACUUUUGCUGCUGGGAAAUAGGAGCGCUGAUCUAUGGGGUAAGUUCAGCAAGGUGGACUCCCCUAAGCUGAUACUGACUUCAUCCUAUAGCGUUGACUUCUGUCCUGAUUUAUUCCAUGCCAGAAGUUCCAGAUGCUGUCAGGAGUUAUUUAAGCCCAUUGGUGUUAAUUUGAUCCUGGACUGGCUGCUGCUUGACAUGCUGUCUGCACAGAGGAUGUUGUUUCUCAUAGCAAAAAUCUUAGCAAGAAGAACAAGGAACAGCUCUGUGACGUGAUGACGCUGAACGAGCAAAAGGGAGGUUUGAAAGCUUUGAGCAAAGAGGUGAAGGAAAAGCUGGAAGCCUAUCAGCAUCUUUUCUACUUGAGUGUUGAGGCGCUGUCUGUCUUUGUGGUGUUGGCUUUUGUGGACACGUGCUGUAUGGGAAUUGCUGAGUCAUGGCCUGAACCCCCGAUUGAUCACCUGAGGCGAGCAGUGAGUCAGGCAGAGGAGCACAGGU